GUCCUUUGUGAGAUGCCACUAUCGGGGGAAACCGGAUGGCUUCACAGAAAAAGUUCGUUUAAAGGAAAAUGGUUUAAGGCCAAGGAAAUACCUAGAAAACGGAAAGUCUUGAAACCAGAGCCUUCCCUCUCAGACAUUUAUUGGUUCAUUCAUUCGUUCAUUUUGCUGUAACUCACAGUGGCCCUCCCCAUCCUAAGGUGCACUGCUGGGAUUGGUCUAUGUGCUGAUGAUGUUCUCCUUGUCUUCAGAGGAAAAAGAAUGCCUGUGUUUCGAAGUUCCUUCUUAGGACGAAACCAGCUGAAGCUGGCGAAAUCCAAGAUGGCGCCUCUGAAGAGCCUCUGGCUUUAUCAUCAUCCUGUUCUCAUGCUAAACAACAUGUCGCCAUGACAACGACUGGAAGAGACCAAGAAGGGACAGAAAAAAAGGGGUUUCUUGAUUCCGGGAAAAAUCUCCGUUCUUUCCCAAGGAAAGCACGAAUAUUCCCCCCCGUGCUCUUAAUGCCCAGCCCCUUCAUUAAAGACACCCUACCUCUGAA
rnacentral:lncRNA from 1 species